rnacentral:rRNA from 1 species
GAUGAACGCUGGCGGCGUGCCUAAUACAUGCAAGUCGAGCGAACAGACGAGGAGCUUGCUCCUCUGACGUUAGCGGCGGACGGGUGAGUAACACGUGGAUAACCUACCUAUAAUACUGGGAUAACUUCGGGAAACCGGAGCUAAUACCGGAUAAUAUAUUGAACCGCAUGGUUCAAUAGUGAAAGACGGUUUUGCUGUCACUUAUAGAUGGAUCCGCGCCGCAUUAGCUAGUUGGUAAGGUAACGGCUUACCAAGGCAACGAUGCGUAGCCGACAUGAGAGGGUGAUCGGCGACACUGGAAGUGAGACACGGACCAGACUCCUACGGGAGGCAGCAGUAGGGAAUCUUCCGCAAUGGGCGAAAGCCUGACGGAGCAACGCCGCGUGAGUGAUGAAGGUCUUCGGAUCGUAAAACUCUGUUAUUAGGGAAGAACAAAUGUGUAAGUAACUAUGCACGUCUUGACGGUACCUAAUCAGAAAGCCACGGCUAACUACGUG